AUUGAACGCUGGCGGCAGGCUUAACACAUGCAAGUCGAGCGGGGUGAUGGUGCUUGCACUAUCACUUAGCGGCGGACGGGUGAGUAAUGCUUAGGAAUCUGCCUAUUAGUGGGGGACAACAUCUCGAAAGGGAUGCUAAUACCGCAUACGUCCUACGGGAGAAAGCAGGGGAUCACUUGUGACCUUGCGCUAAUAGAUGAGCCUAAGUCGGAUUAGCUAGUUGGUGGGGUAAAGGCCUACCAAGGCGACGAUCUGUAGCGGGUCUGAGAGGAUGAUCCGCCACACUGGGACUGAGACACGGCCCAGACUCCUACGGGAGGCAGCAGUGGGGAAUAUUGGACAAUGGGGGGAACCCUGAUCCAGCCAUGCCGCGCGUGUGAAGAAGGCCUUAUGGCUGUAAAGCACUUUAAGCGAGGAGGAGGCUCUUUUGGUUAAUACCCAAGAUGAGUGGACGUUACUCGCAGAAUAAGCACCGGCUAACUCUGUGCCAGCCGCUGCAGUAA
rnacentral:rRNA from 1 species